UACGUAGGGGGCAAGCGUUGUCCGGAUUUACUGGGCGUAAAGCGCGCGUAGGCGGGAAGAGAAGUCCGGUGGGAAAGCCCACGGCUCAACCGUGGAAGAACGCUGGAAACUCUCUUUCUUGAGGGCGGCAGAGGGAAGUGGAAUUGCUGGUGUAGCGGUGAAAUGCGUAGAUAUCAGCAGGAACACCCGUGGCGAAGGCGGCUCCUGGGCCGCCCCUGACGCUGAGGCGCGAAAGCUAGGGGAGCAAACGGG
rnacentral:rRNA from 1 species